GAUGAAGAACGAAGCGAAAUGCGAUACGUAAUGUGAAUUGCAGAAUUCAGUGAAUCAUCGAAUCUUUGAACGCACAUUGCGCCCGCCAGCACUCUGGCGGGCAUGCCUGUUCGAGCGUCAUUUCAACCAUCAAGCCCCAGGCUUGCGUUGGAGCCCUGCGGCUGCCGCAGCCUCCUAAAAGCAGUGGCGGGCUCGCUAUCACACCGAGUGCAGUAGAUUACUCUUCGCUCAGGGCGUGCAGCGGGUUCCGGCCGUGAAACCCCCUACUUUUAAAGGUUGACCUCGGAUCAGCUAGGAAUACCCGCUGAACUUAAGCAUAUCAUAAGCGGAGGA
rnacentral:misc_RNA from 1 species